rnacentral:rRNA from 1 species
UACGUAGGGUGCAAGCGUUAAUCGGAAUUACUGGGCGUAAAGCGUGCGCAGGCGGUUUUGUAAGACUGUCGUGAAAUCCCCGGGCUUAACCUGGGAAUGGCGAUGGUGACUGCAAGGCUAGAGUUUGGCAGAGGGGGGUAGAGUUCCACGUGUAGCAGUGAAAUGCGUAGAGAUGUGGAGGAACACCGAUGGCGAAGGCAGCCCCCUGGGUCAAGACUGACGCUCAUGCACGAAAGCGUGGGGAGCAAACAGG